ACCGUCCUCGUCAUGGGGUGACUGGGAAAUUCAAUGAACGAAUAGUGAGAAUUUCCCUGCUGACACCAUAUCAACACAUUCGCACCUCCCGAAUUUCGAAUUUGGGUCCUGGUGCAAUUUUUGGAACC